GGUGGUGCAUGGCUUCGUCAGCUCGUGUCGUGAGAUGUUGGGUUAAGUCCCGCAACGAGCGCAACCCUUGUUGUCAGUUGCCAGCAUUAAGUUGGGCACUCUGGCGAGACUGCCGGUGACAAACGGAGGAAGGUGGGGACGACGUCAAGUCAUCAUGCCCCUUAUGACCUGGGCUACACACGUGCUACAAUGGACGGUACAACGAGUCGCGAGACCGCGAGGUUUAGCUAAUCUCUUAAAGCCGUUCUCAGUUCGGAUUGUAGGCUGCAACUCGCCUACAUGAAGUAAUCGCUAGUAAUCGCGAAUCAGCAUGUCGCGGUGAAUACGUUCCCGGGCCUUGUACAC
rnacentral:rRNA from 1 species